AUACGUAGGGGGCGAGCGUCGUCCGGAAUGAUUGGGCGUAAAGGGCGCGUAGGCGGCUUUGCAAGUCAGUAGUGGAAGUCCAUUUUUCAAGGAUGGAAGUGCUACAGAAACUGCGCAGCUUGAGUGCAGGAGAGGUUAUCGGAAUUCCCGGUGUAGCGGUGAAAUGCGUAGAGAUCGGGAGGAACACCAGCGGCGAAGGCGGGUAACUGGACUGCAACUGACGCUGAGGCGCGAAAGUGUGGGGAGCAAACAGGAUUAGAUACCCUGGUAGUCCACACUGUAAACGAUGAAUGCUAGGUGUAGGAGGUAUCGACCCCUUCUGUGCCGCAGUAAACACAGUAAGCAUUCCGCCUGGGGAGUACGGUCGCAAGAUUAAAACUCAAAGGAAUUGACGGGG
rnacentral:rRNA from 1 species